rnacentral:rRNA from 1 species
AUUGAACGCUGGCGGCAGGCCUAACACAUGCAAGUCGAACGAGUGGCGGACGGGUGAGUAAUGUCUGGGAAACUGCCUGAUGGAGGGGGAUACCUACUGGAAACGGUAGCUAAUCCCGCAUACCAUCGGAUGUGCCCAGAUGGGCUUAGCUAGUAGGUGGGGUAACGGCUCACCUAGGCGACGAUCCCUAGCUGGUCUGGGAGGAUGACCGGCCACACUGGAACUGAGAAACGGUCCAGAUUCCUACGGAAGGCAGCAGUGGGGAAUAUUGCACAAGGGGCGCAAUCCUGAUGCGGACAUGCCGCGGGUAUGAAGAAGGCCUUCGGGUGGUAAAGUACUUUCAGCGGGGAGGCGUUACCCGCAGAAGAAGCACCGGCUAACUCCGUGCCAGCAGCCGCGGUAAUUC